UAUCGAGUUUUGAAACGGGUUGUAGCUGGCCUUCCGAGGCAUGUGCACGCCCUGCUCAUCCACUCUACACCUGUGCACUUACUGUGGGUUUCAGGAGCUUCGAAAGCGAGAAAAGGGGCCUCCCGGGGUUUUUUUUGUGCCUAUGUGUUAGGGGCUCUAUUUUUCUCUACAAACACUUAUAAAGUAUCAGAAUGUGUAUUGCGAUGUAACGCAUCUAUAUACAACUUUCAGCAACGGAUCUCUUGGCUCUCGCAUCGAUGAAGAACGCAGCGAAAUGCGAUAAGUAAUGUGAAUUGCAGAAUUCAGUGAAUCAUCGAAUCUUUGAACGCACCUUGCGCUCCUUGGUAUUCCGAGGAGCAUGCCUGUUUGAGUGUCAUGAAAUUCUCAACCUAACGGGUUCUUAACGGGACUUGCUU
rnacentral:rRNA from 1 species